GGCGGCGUGCUUAACACAUGCAAGUCGAACGAUGACGGUGGUGCUUGCACCGCUGAUUAGUGGCGAACGGGUGAGUAACACGUGAGUAACCUGCCCUCCACUUCGGGAUAACCUCGGGAAAUCGUGGCUAAUACCGGAUAUGAGCACUCAUCGCAUGGUGGGUGCUGGAAAGAUUUAUCGGUGGGGGAUGGACUCGCGGCCUAUCAGUUUGUUGGUGAGGUGAUGGCUCACCAAGACGAUGACGGGUAGCCGGCCUGAGAGGGCGACCGGCCACACUGGGACUGAGACACGGCCCAGACUCCUACGGGAGGCAGCAGUGGGGAAUAUUGCACAAUGGGCGAAAGCCUGAUGCAGCGACGCCGCGUGGGGGAUGACGGCCUUCGGGUUGUAAACCCCUUUCAGUAGGGAAGAAGCGAGAGUGACGGUACCUGCAGAAGAAGCGCCGGCUAACUACGUGCCAGCAGCCGCGGUAAUACGUAGGGCGCAAGCGUUGUCCGGAAUUAUUGGGCGUAAAGAGCUUGUAGGUGGCUUGUCGCGUCUGCCGUGAAAACCCGAGGCUCAACCUCGGGCGUGCGGUGGGUACGGGCAGGCUAGAGUGUGGUAGGGGAGACUGGAACUCCUGGUGUAGCGGUGAAAUGCGCAGAUAUCAGGAAGAACACCGAUGGCGAAGGCAGGUCUCUGGGCCAUUACUGACACUGAGAAGCGAAAGCAUGGGUAGCGAACAGGAUUAGAUACCCUGGUAGUCCAUGCCGUAAACGUUGGGCACUAGGUGUGGGGGACAUUCCACGUUUUCCGCGCCGUAGCUAACGCAUUAAGUGCCCCGCC
rnacentral:rRNA from 1 species